rnacentral:misc_RNA from 1 species
AAAAUGUCGUCUGGCAGAAUAUACAAGCUUUUGUUUCGCAAGGAGCAGCCCCAGUGGCUGUGGGACAUGGCACUCGAGGUCCGCCUCCCUGCCUUGUUUCUGCUGGCCGUGGUGUACGUGAACACAAAGUGCUACUACGACUCGCUGAGCGCGUACCAGGCGGGCUCACGAUGGGGCAUUACACAAGGAAAGCUGCUAGAGCUACGGAAGCUCAACUAUAGGUACAUUAUCGUUCCGCGGUAUGCGGUCAAGUAUGAGUUUGAGGUGGAUGGCAAGCGAUACGUCUCGAGUCGUGGCACCACCGGUUCUCCGUAUCGAAACUGGAUGGAGGGGUGGUAUUACGACACGAUCACGGAGGCGGAGUAUCUCCAGGCCAUUCCAGUGCUUCGCGUAGGGGAACGAUGCAGUGUCUUCUAUGACAAGAAGAACCCCAGGGCACAUUCGGCACUUGCGCAGGACGCCAACUCAUUCGAGAUUUCCUUUCUGGGAUUCUUGGCUGUCUUUCCGCUGCUCAUGGGCCACUACAUGAAGGCCCAUUUCUGGAUGCUACGAAAGGCCUACAUGCCGAACAAAAAGAUGCGUAUCCGCUUCCCAGUUUACGACCAUCCGAGGCCACCCCCGCCGCCCCCAAAGGAACCUCAACAGAUAUCGGAGCUGCCGCCAAAGAAUUGACCGCAUGCGUGUGCGAGAGUGUGCUAGGGAGACUGCAAGACUUUCCUUGUACGGUGUUUCCAUUGGGUACUUCUACGCGCGUGCCUGGUAAAGAUGUGCCUAUGACCACAAUGUUGCCUUCGGCUGCACAUGGGUGGGGUUUUCGUUGAGGGAAGCCGGAUACGCAACUCCGGUCUUCCGGUGUUUGUGGCGGCUUUUUCUCUGUCUCUCCUUCUUUCUGGCGUCGAGUGAUGCGGAUGUGGCGUCUUAGCAUCAACACUUGCGGCUACUCGCAGCAGUGCACGGACGCUGCUCUCCGUCUGUGCGUUCGUGUGUGUGUUUGUACGGCGCAGGACUUUGUGUUGUGGUGGGGACAGAGUUGCUGGAAUUGUUAACCUUCCACAUCUAUCACAGCGUUGUGCAAAGAAAAGGAAAGCAAAGUGAUGUCGCGCACAUACGCAGCGAUACUUGCAAGAAUAACAUGAGGGAGCCGUAGGCCGAACCUGGUGGAAUGAGUUUUUCCAGAAGGCCAGCCAAGGUGAGCUGCUUUCCAAGGUUGACUGCGUCUGAAGAAGUGACGCUAUGUGUGUGUGUGUGCG